AACGACUCUCGACAACGGAUAUCUCGGCUCUCGCAUCGAUGAAGAACGUAGCGAAAUGCGAUACUUGGUGUGAAUUGCAGAAUCCCGUGAACCAUCGAGUCUUUGAACGCAAGUUGCGCCCGAAGCCAUUAGGCUGAGGGCACGUCUGCCUGGGUGUCAUGC
rnacentral:rRNA from 8 species